rnacentral:tRNA from 1 species
UUGGGGUGUGACUCAGUGGUAGAAUGUGUGCUUAGCAUGAGAAAGGUCCUGGGUUUAAUCCCCAGCACAAG